rnacentral:lncRNA from 1 species
GCAUUGCCAUGAGCUGCAGUAUAGGUUGCAGAUGAGGCUGGGCUCUGGUGUUGCUGUGGCUGUGGCAUAGGCUGGAAGCUACAGCUCCUAUUUGAUCCCUAACCUGGGAACUUCCAUAUGCAGCAGGUGCGGUCCUAAAAAAAAAAAGGAUUAAAAAAAUUGAAUGCAAAAUCAUCUACUAUAAUGAUAUUUAUUCAAAAAAGUGUCUAUAUAUCUAAGUAAACAUUGAAAGAAACAAGAGGGUAAGAAAACUUUUGGGAGUGUGAGUAGAUGGAUUAUAGUAUGAUUUUCUUCUUAAUGUCAUGCAUACUAAUGUUAACAUUUUAAAGAUAAAAGUGUAAUUCAAAAUUCUUAAUGUAUCAAUCCACUUUCCCUAUUAAAUUAACUAGAAUUCAAGUACUAGCACGCUUCUCCUCAAAAUUAAUUUAGGCCUUCAAGGAUGUAAAACUACUUUUAAUCUCAGCAUCCAAACAAUUCAUAAUGUUAUAUUUUUCCCUUCAGCAUGACUUUAGAGUCUUCACCAGCAAAUCUAAAGGUCCUCUAGGGCUGUCUGCUCUAUGAACUCUUUAAGUGCUGGAGAUCAAGUAUCAUGAGCGAAGUUGGCAUCAAUCCACACCUAAUUAGACAUGUCAGGGAGAGCAGCCAGCCAGCUGGCUUGGAUUAUACACAUGCAGACCCAGCUGAGGUAGAGCAUCAGCUCAGAGGCUGCCCAGCGAAGUUUGUUUCAUCUCUCUUCACCCACCUCCACCCCUCCCUCUCCUCUGUCCCUUAUGGAGGGGGAGCUUGCAAAGAGGAGCAGCAUUCCUUUCCGGAGGGCUCUGUGAGGACUGUCUGGAAAUCUUUUUUGCCAUUCACUGAAUAUUCAUGGAAAUUCCCUGAAUAUUAAUAUUUAUGGCAAUUCCCUGAAUACGUGCCUGGUGUGUGACUGUGAAAGAAUAGCAGAAAUUAAUUAUUUUCUUUGAGUUACCACCCAUUAGAUCAAAUUUGCAUGCUGCAGGAAGAGCUGCUGGAAGUCGGCUUCUAGCAGGAAGACAACUUCUAGCAGGAAGCCACAUCUAACACCCCAGGUCUGAUUCAUCUCCCUUAAGGGCAUAGGCUAGCUGUAGUUGAUAAUGAUGUCUCUAAAACUUGGGUGAAGGAGAGCUCCCUUAGCCUCAGUUGACUACUGCUUUAUCAGCUCAUUUCUCCCUGCAUUGAGGGGCUAGGAGAACUGGCAUGAUUACACCAUUAGGACAGGGAGAAACCCCAACAGGGUAUGGGAGAGUGGGUCAUGCAUAAGGAAAAGUUGAAAGGACUGAGAAGUACCCAGUCCUCCUCAGAAUUGUCAAAUGUUCCUUCUGUCAUUUCUGAGUCUCUGCAUCUUUGCUUAUACUACCCUUUCCAACCCAAAUGUGUCUUUUUCUUUCGCACCUAUUCAAAUCCCACCCUCUUCAAAGUCUAGGUCACAUCUAACAUUCUCCCCAAAGUCUCUCCUUAUUGUUCUAACCCAUACUGAAUUCUUCAUGCAAUUACAGCAGAGGAGGCGACAUUUACAUGGAAAGACAAAGUUGGUCAGUGAGCUUGGGAUCAGAAUAAGAAAAAUUAGUUGAGUUCCUUAAAUGGUUGACAACAACCUUAAGAGUCUGGGACAUGCGUCUUCGUGUGGUUUGUUGCUAAGGGGCCUGCAUCAGCCAGAUAGGGCAGUGUAUUUUCUGCACUGAGCUGAAGAUAACAUAGUAAAUUUUUUUUUUUUUUCCUUCUAGGCUCCUAAAAAACCACUCCACUUCUCUAAAUAACGUUCUUUUUCAAGUUCUAACUCUUGGACUAAUGAUGUUUUUGAAGCCUCCCCAAUUACCUUAUGCAAACUAUUUGUGAAGAACCGUCAAUAUUAUUGAUUAGAUAAACUUUUUUUCACUGAUGCUUUUCACUGUUGGAUCCUUGUGACCAUCCACUGUGAUUUAUUAAGGCACAUAUUUCCAGACUGUAUCUUAGGGAUAAUUCUUUCAAGAAUAGCUCAUCUUAUCCAUUAAAUGUUUAAUUUUACUCAUCUCAUUCUCAGACUUAAGCUUAUUUUUGAACUCUGAGAGCAUCUUCUUCUAGUUCUCUCUUUUCAUGAAUUUCUACAUCUCUGAUGAUGGUAUCACUCUCCUUAGCCCUUGCUUUCAUCCUAUACUGUUUUGUUGAUUAUUUGGUCUAUACAAGUAAACCUUUGCUUCCUUGGUUUUAUUGUAAACCUACAGAGGCAAGGACCCUGACUGGUACAUCUUUGCUCCCCUGUAAGGACUAAUAUACCUGGGCACUAAAGAAGUAUUUAAUAAACACUCAGAGUUAGGUUUUGCCAAAAAGAUGUAGUGCUGAGACAACUGAUCCAUAGCUCUGGGCAAGAGAUGGAAUUCCACACGAAUAAAUCAGAUUGUAUGAGCAUCUCUCCUGCACCCCGUCUCUGCUUACCUCACCUGCUUCACUGGUCUUUAUCCUCACCCACAUGAUAUGGAGCAUAGGUUUCAGUAUACAACCCACCAUGGCUACACACCAUGAUUUAAUCUGUUAGGUCACAGCCUUUGUCUGAUAUCUGUUUGUUUCUUUCUCUGUGCUUGCCACUGUUGUCACUCUGCUACCCAAAUUGCACAAGCCACAAUACCAUUUUUUUUUUCACUGAACUGUGAAAUUUAGCAGCUGUGACUAAAUCAAGUUCAUCUCUUUAUUGCCUGGUAUCAUCACUUGCACAAGCUGCAGUUCUCCACAAACAUGAUUGAAUAAGUGAGGAAAUGAAUGAAUAAGGGAAUGAUUACUCUUCUUGUCCUGAGCACUAAAGAUACUGAUUACAAUUUCCUUAAGAUCGGGUCUUUGGGUCCUAAAAUCAACACAGUCUCAAACACACACACACACACACACACACACACACACACAAACACACAUGCACGCGAGUUUCAUUCUAAGCUAUCUAUCUAAUGUUCACUGGUCCCCUUUUUCUUUAUAGCUUUCCAUAGCUGCAUCCUUGGCCUGCUUCCUAAAAGUCCAUCCUACCUCUGUAAAUGCCUGAUGAGUCUGAUUAUCUCUUAUGGCAUAAUACAUAAAAUGGAAUUGAUAAUAAUGUCUAAUUCUUAUUCUAAUUUUAAGAAUAAAUGAGAAUACUUUGAAAAUCACUGAGCUCUGUACCUGGAACAUUUUAAAUGCUCAAAAGAUACUGGCGAUGCUCUUAUUUUUCUUAAUUUAUUAAUACCUAUUUUAUUGAUGCAGCUAUCACCUUCAACCCAAUAAAAUUUAAAAUAAAUUCUUUAUAGUCCUUCCUGAAGAUUCCACUAUUGGAUCUCAAUUCUGCCACUGGCCACUCGGACCUUGACAAUUAGCAUCAUGUUUGAAGUCCUCUGAAUUUUAAUUUUCUUAUCUCACAAUCCUGUUCUGCUUGGUUAUUCUAGCUGCAAGCUCUAUCCCCUUCAAUAAAUGCUCUUUGCUGUAAAGAAAUUUUCCUCAAACACUACUCUGAUUAUGUAAUUCCCUUCCUUAGAACAUUUCAUGAUUCCUCACUGCUAAUAGAAAAAGUUCAAUACCUUAACUGGGCAUCUUAGUGUCUCCGUCAGAAGGCUCUGACUUUCCCUAUUUACCACCACUGACUCCCAAAAAUAUCCCACAAUUACAAGAAAAUGGAGUUACUCUUAACUUCUGCACAGACUAUGGCAUGUUCUUUCCCCUGCCUGAAUUGAUCAUCCUCUUUCCACUUAUCUAAACUGCAUCCACCCCUCAGUAAGUUUUUCUAGUCCACCACAGACCGUACAAUCACUCUGUUUUUCACCUUAACAUUUAUAUUUAGUAACAAAGUCCUCAUCUUGACAAGCACAUACUUACAGCAUUCUUCUGGAUAAAAAUAAAAUUCUCGUUGUGAUUCACGUCUUCAUUAAGUUGAACAUAUGGAAUUGGCAUUUAUGAGGUCAAAGAUGGCCAAAUACUGACAAUUUCAAAUGGAUUAAUUCACAAAUGCAAUUAAAAAUACAAAUCUAAUUAUCUUAUCCCCAUAGCCAGUACUGUAGACAUAGAAUCUCUAUUUCUUUACAGAAACAUUUUUUUUUAAUUCACCAAACAACUGUUGCAGUUUUGCUAACCACAUCAUGGUGAAAGAGUCUAAUGAGUGCUAAUAUUUCUUUUUUUGGACAAGUUGUUUCAAUCCAAUCAAGAAAUAAAUCUAAUCAACACAUUAUUCUUUGAUUCUGAAUUGCCCCCAAAUUUCUCUAAUCUCGAGGGUCUCUGAAAAAUUUGUUUGGAAAGUUAUAACAAAAUGACACAGACUGAGUAGCUUACAAGCAAUAUAAAUUUAUUUCUCCCUAUUCUGGAAGCUGAGAAGUCCAAGAUCAAGUCAUGGUUGCAUUCUGGUCAAAGCCCUCUUCGGGUUUAUAGCUGGUACCUUCUCAGUCUCUCCGCAUAGGGUGGAAAUGGGGGUAAGAUCUCUCUGGAGCAUCUCUACAAGGGCAUUAAUCAUCUCUCAAAGGCCCCAUAUCCUAUACCAUCAUAUUGAACAUUAGGAUUUCAAUACAUUAAUUUGGGCAAACACAAACAUUCUGACCAUAGCAGAAAGUGUCUUCUCAACAUCAUAGUUGUCCAGUGACAAGAGUCAAAGACCUAAUGAAAGAAAUGUUAGAUUGGAGUACUGUAUUUCCAUCAGAGAGGAAGGAGAAAUACUGUCAUAGCCUUUCAUUGCCAGCUCUUGAGAAGAGAUGCUGACACCUUCUGUUCCAAAACGUAACACAACAACUAGUUCGAUGACUUUGUGGACUGGAAAAUUGAAGUCCCCACACCAGCCCAAGAACAGGAUACUGAGCUAAAGAACUUAAUUGUGUUUUACUUUAUUCAAUUAUUAUAAUUAUGCUUUUGAUUGGCAUCCUUUGAUUAUCCAGUUUUCCAAUUUUUAUCUCUACUAUUUUCUAUUCUUAUGUAUGCUUGUAUUCAGCUUUUACUUGAAUUUUAUGCUGUUUUUCACUCAUUGGACAUUCAGACUUCUAUAUAAGAAUAAUUUGAUGGAUUUUUAAGAGUUGAGAAAAUUCUUUAGUUCAUUGAUUUUCUUUUUUAUAACUUUUCUGUAUAUAUUUAUAAUGAUUUUUCUACAUCAUAAUGUUUCUUUUAAUACCCUAAAAGGCAGGAACAAUGUAGCAUUUUCUACACAUAUGUAUUUCCAAUUUUUUAACUCAAUGAAUUUUAUUACAUUUAUAGUCAUACAAUGAUCAUAGCAUUAUAUUUUUAAAAGUUUAAAAUACAAAUUUCUUUCAGAUUUCUAGACCUAAUAGAUAAUAUUUGAAUAUUUUCCACUUUUAAAGAUUAUUUUGUUUUUAAGAGACAACCAUCAUUUGAAAUACUUUUAACUACGUAUAUUUAACUUCUACAUUCAAAACUAAAUCUAGGAGUUCCCAUUGUGGUGCAGUGGAAAUGAUCUGACUAGUAUCCAUGAAGAUGCGGGUUCAAUCCCUGGCCUUGCUCAGUGGAUUGGGGAUCUGGCAUUGCUGUGGCUGUGGUGUAGGCUGGCAGCUACUCCAAUUCGACCCUUAGCCUGGGAACUUCCAUAUGCCCCGAGUGUGGCC